rnacentral:lncRNA from 1 species
GGAUUUUUGAAAACACGAAAUUUUUUUAUUCACGAAAAUUUUUGAAACACGGAAUUUUUUUUAAAGAAAGAAACACUAAUAUAUUUUUUUGAAACAAUGGAAAUUUUAUUAUUAUUAUUUUGAAACAUGAGAAAUUUUGAAGAUAUGAAAAUUUUUGAAACACGAUUUUUUUCUUUAAAAAAAUACCGUAUUUAACACGAAUCGAUGAUAUUCACCCCGAUAUGGCGAUGAUACCAUCGAAUUAG